rnacentral:rRNA from 1 species
CAGUUCGGAUUGUAGUCUGCAACCCGACUACAUGAAGCUGGAAUCGCUAGUAAUCGCGAAUCAGAAUGUCGCGGUGAAUGCGUUCCCGGGUCUUGUACACACCGCCCGUCACACCAUGGAAGGUUUGGGGGGUGCCCCAAAGCCGGCAAGCGAAUAUGCUGUCUAAGGCAAAAACCAAUGACUGGGGUGAAGUCGUAACAAGGUAAC